UUUGGUGCUCAGGUGUGCUCCAAAUUUUAUUUCAGACUCGAUCUGAGCUUAACAUUGUCGUUCAUUAUAUGAUGUCAGCUAGGCUUUUUUGAUGCUCAGGUGUGCUCCAAAUUUUAUUUCAGACUCGAUCUGAGCUCAAUAUUGUCGUUCAUUAUAUGAUGUCAGCUAGGCUUCUUUGAAGCUCAGGUGUGCUCCAAAUUUUAUUUCAGACUCGAUCUGAGCUUAACAUUGUCGUUCAUUAUAUGAUGUCAGCUAGGCUUCUUUGAAGCUCAGGUGCGCUCCAAAUUUUAUUUCAGACUCGAUCUGAGCUUAACAUUGUCGUUCAUUAUAUGAUGUCAGCUAGGCUUUUUUGGUGCUCAGGUGUGCUCCAAAUUUUAUUUCAGACUCGAUCUGAGCUAAACAUUGUCGUUCAUUAUAUGAUGUCAGCUAGGCUUUUUUGGUGCUCAGGUGUGCUCCAAAUUUUAUUUCAGACUCGAUCUGAGCUAAACAUUGUCGUUCAUUAUAUGAUGUCAGCUAGGCUUCUUUGAAGCUCAGGUGCGCUCCAAAUUUUAUUUCAGACUCGAUCUGAGCUUAACAUUGUCGUUCAUUAUACGAUGUCAGCUAGGCUUUUUUGGUGCUCAGGUGUGCUCCAAAUUUUAUUUCAGACUCGAUCUGAGCUUAACAUUGUCGUUCAUUAUAUGAUGUCAGCUAGGCUUUUUUGAUGCUCAGGUGUGCUCCAAAUUUUAUUUCAGACUCGAUCUGAGCUCAAUAUUGUCGUUCAUUAUAUGAUGUCAGCUAGGCAUCUUUGAAGCUCAGGUGUGCUCCAAAUUAUAUUUCAGACUCGAUCUGAGCUAAACAUUGUCGUUCAUUAUAUGAUGUCAGCCAGGCUUCUUUGAAGCUCAGGUGUGCUCUAAAUUUUAUUUCAGACUCGAUAUGUGCUUAGUUCUGUCGUUCAUUAUAUUAUAUCAGCUAUGCUUCUUUGAAGCUCAGGUGUGCUCUAAAUUAUAUUUCAGACUUGAUCAGAGCUCAAUAUUGUCGUUCAUCAUAUGAUGUCAGAUAUGCUUCUUUGAAGCUCAGGUGUGAUCUAAAUUUUAUUUCAGACUUGAUCUGAGCUCAAUAUUGUCGUUCAUUAUAUGAUGUCAGCUAGGCUUCUUUGAAGCUCAGGUGUGCUCCAAAUUUUAUUUCAGACUCGAACUGAGCUCAAUAUUGUCGUUCAUUAUAUGAUGUCAGCUAGGCUUCUUUGAAGCUCAGGUGUGCUCCAAAUUUUAUUUCAGACUGGAUGUGAUGUGCAAUGUAACCUGAAUGCAUUUUCGGGUAAUUUUGCGCUUCCUAAGCUUAGCUCAGGCUUAGGAUUGCUCUAGAUUCCUUAUGAUGUGCAAUGUAACCUGAAUGCAUUUUCGGGUGAUUUUGCGCUUCCUAAGCUUAGCUCAGGCUUAGGAUUGCUCUAGAUUCCAUAUGAUGUGCAAUGUAACCUGAAGAUUCUAUAACAUUCCCCAGAAACCCAAUCCCCAGAAUUCCAUUCCCCAGAAUGUACCAUUCCCCAGAA